GGAUGUAAGGGUGAUCUGGCUGCAACAUCUGUCACCCCACUGAUCACCAGGCUUGAUUUGGCUGAUCUCUGGCUGACCAGGCAGUUGUCCCCUUCCUCCCUCACCGCUCCAUGUGUGUCCCUCCUGAAGCUGCGUGCUGGGUCUAAGAGAACCACCAUCCCCAAUAGAGGAGGACCGUUCUUCUUGGCCAAGGGUAUACAAGUAACUGCGCUCCCCUGCUAGAACCCCCAAACAAGCUCCCAGAAAUGUGUGCACCAAGUCCUUCGUGAGGAUGCUAUGGUGGAGUGCAGGGAGCACAGGAGAAGGGCAGCUAACCCAGGAAAAAUUCUGCAGGGGUGGGGCAGGCUGGAGCUGAGU
rnacentral:snRNA from 1 species